rnacentral:lncRNA from 1 species
CAAAACUAGGCAAACACGAGUAUAUGUAAAGGAAGACUUAUAUUCACUAACGGAAGAACUGUAGCACAAUAAAUUGUAAAAGAAACAGUGACAAAGUGUUCCUGCUAUUAAAGGAAUUCAACAGUAAAGAAAUUGAAAUAAACGAAUGGGUAUUUGGACAUUCGAGAGGUCCAGUGCUCUCCUAUGUGUUUCCACCAAUUUUCUGCAUGCCUUUUCUCUUCCCUCUGGCUCUGUUUUAUAGAUCUGGCUCCAUAACAACUUUGCUAACAACUUUAGAGCCUCCCACAUGCUGGUUGAGUAUCUCUGAGUUGUUUUCCUUUUCUGCCCUUAUGGUUUUCUUGCGUCUGUUGUAUGUUAACUGAAUAGGCGGCUUAUCAGAUUUCCACAUGCCUG